ACCUUAAAUUGGAAAUCAAAUUGAGGGCUUUAAGAUGCGCCAUGGAGGAAGACAGAUGGUUAGCAGUCCUUAAGAGUUAAGACGCACCAUGGAGGAAGUCAAGCCUCUGUCCGAAUACAGCUGAGCCAACGACGAAGGCGAGUUGCAGUCGAAUUGCUUCGAGAGGAAGAAGAAUGAAGUCGAAUUGCAGUCGAAUGAGGCCUGAAGGGUAGCAGUGGCGGUGCCGCGGUGGUGGCUGUGGUCAGCGUGGUGCACUCGUGGGUGGUGGCGGCGAUGGCUAGGGCUUGAGAAGAUGUGAAGGAAAGAAGG
rnacentral:lncRNA from 1 species